GGGAGGCAGCAGUGGGGAAUUUUGGACAAUGGGCGAAAGCCUGAUCCAGCCAUACCGCGUGAGUGAAGAAGGCCUUCGGGUUGUAAAGCUCUUUCAGCCGGAAAGAAAUUGCUUCUAUUAAUACUAGGAGUAGAUGACGGUACCGGAAGAAGAAGCACCGGCUAACUACGUGCCAGCAGCCGCGGUAAUACGUAGGGUGCGAGCGUUUAUUGGAAUUAUUGGGGGUAAAGAGUGGGCGGGCGGUUUUUUAAGCCAGAUGUGAAAUCCCCGGGCUCAACCUGGGAAAUGCAUUUGGAAAUGGAAGAGUUGAGUGUAGCAGAGGGGGGUAGAAUUCCACGGGUAGCAGGGAAAUGCGUAGAUAUGUGGAGGAAAACCAAUGGGGAAGGCAGCCCCUUGGGUUAACACUGACGGUCAUUCAGGAAAGCGUGGGGGGCAAACCGGAUUAGAUACCCCGGUUGUUCACGCCCUAAAAGAUGUCAACUAGGUGUUGGGGGAGGAGACUUCCUUAGUACCGUAGCU
rnacentral:rRNA from 1 species